ensembl:lincRNA 1700065O20Rik RIKEN cDNA 1700065O20 gene
GCAGUCCUGCUUGUAUCAUAAAUGUGGAUGGUCUUUUGUUGGGCUGAGGUGAUUUCUAUUAUUAUUCCACCAUUUUAUUCCUUUUUUUUUUAACCUCAAAGAGACAUAAGGUUUCCGAAGAAAUGAUUAACUACCAAAGUAAGACUAGUACAACCAUUCAUUAACCCUGGGCACAGAGUGACAUUUGCAGUUUUUAUGACAGGCUUUUCUCAACUUAAAGUAUAAGCACAGAGAGGCCCAAGAGGCCCCAGAACAGCACAGGCAAUUGCCACUGCUGUUGGUUGCCCCCUAGAACUAGAUGGUAAAAACCUACUGAUGAGGAUAACAUAUGCCCUGGGAAAAGGUCAUAGAAAAAUGAAGCUCCAGUUGAACUUCUGCCUACAGGAGAGGCAUCAUAGAAAACGCCAGAAGGGGGAAAUAUUUUUGACGUAACCCUGAAGGUAUGCAGUCUUCCCUGCAAUGAGUCCUGUAUUGAGACUGUAAGAAGAAUGUGGUGGCGAAGAUAUGAGGUCUUUUUAUCCAUUGUUCUGUUGUGCUGCUGGGGACAGAACCUGGCCGCUCACUUCUGCAGGAGGAGCACAUGCCUGAGCAGUGAGAAUACCACCAGCUGCUUUUUUUUUUUAAAUGAAAUAAUUUACUAAAAAUCUUUGUAGUUGCUGUUUGUUUCUGGUCACAAUGCUAAAUAAAGUAAGUAAAAAG